UCCCAAGUUCCCAACGACAGCCAUCACCACCACUAUCACCGUCGUUUCUCCACCAUUUCUUUCUGCCGCCAGUUAAUGAUGAUGGUGGUGGAUAUCAAAACUCUAUUUGUCUAUCCAUUUAAAUGAUUUUUCUUUCUAGAUUCACAAUCUUCUGUUCAAUUAGUUGAUGACGAUGGUGGUGGUGGUGGCGAUGGUGCAGAAGGAUGUCAAAUAUAUGUUUUAUUAGUUGAUGGUGGUGGUGGUGGAGACCUAAUUCAUUAAUCGAUGGCGAGUAAUUCAUUAUGUGAUAUACGUUCCUCACCAUAGAAAGAAUUUUUGCUUUCGUUCAUCUUCAAUUUGGGGUUCGAUUUCAACUAAUUUUUUUCGAUUCGUUCGGGCUAACAUCUCUUCCAUUUUACAGGUAUGAUUUUGAUUUUUUUUUCUUUUUAGUUUGAUUUGAUUUUGUUGUGCACUAUGGGUUACAACUUUGUUUUCAGGUUGGUGUGAAGCAAGAAUAUAAAAUGUGGAAGGAAGGAAUUGGGAGUAUAUUGUAUAGAUGGGGCAUAUAUGAUAGAUGUUUUGAGUAGGGACUGAUCUAGAUGAGUUUUUAGAUUGAGCUGAUAAUUACAUCUGGUUGACAAAGGGGAGCAUUAUCCAUUCGAAAUACAUAUUUACAUUGGACUUUGCUAGGGAAUAAUACUAUAAUCAUAACCUAGAAUGCUUGUUCAUCAGGGACUUUAUAAACAAAUGUUUCGAUAAAAGUGGUCAUGUCUAAUGGUUCCUAAUAGUGUUUUUAAUUUUGAAUAAGCAAAUGUUCGUUCAUGGCAAGUGGUUUAACCUCAUUCUCAUGUCUUGCAUUUGAAUGAAUGGAGCUUGCUCUUUGGAAAGACAUGGUGAAGACCACUAAGUUGAAGGAGCUCGCUCAUCACGAUGCCGAGUGGUAUUUGCCUCCUGAAUAUUUUCGACAUGGAAAAGUAUCGGAUAAACGGAUGUAUAUGCACUUGGUGUGGUACUGUUAGAGCUAAUAACAGGCCAUGGACUUAUUGAGUCAAAAAGAGCUAUAGGAGAUGAGAAUCUAGUUUUAUGGGUACAUGAGAGAUGAUUAAUUUCCUUUUUGGGUCGCAUUUGUUGUUGGUUUUUCAGUUCUUGAUCCUUGCAAACUAUAUGGUCUCUCAAGAUGAACCUGUGGUGUAAUGGUAUCACACCUGACUAAAGUCAGAAAAUGCGUGUUCAAUUCACGCCAGGUUCACUACUUUUAGUACUUCAAUUUUGAGGAUCAAUUUUGGUUGUUGGCACUAGAUUUUGGGGUCAACUUUAGUUGUUGACACCAUGUUUUGGGAUCAACUUUGGUUGUUGACACCAUACAUAGUCUGAACAUUUUCUGUAUUUUUAAUUUAAAGGAUCAACUUCAGUUGUUGACAAUAUGAUUCUUUUUUAUUAUUUUCUAAUUGUUUUUGGGGAUCAAUUUUGGUUGUUGACACUAGAUUUUGGGGUCAACUUUAGUUGUUGACACCAUAUUUUAGGAUCA